rnacentral:rRNA from 1 species
ACGAUGGAGAGUUUGAUCCUGGCUCAGGAUUAACGCUGGCGGCGUGCCUAAUACAUGCAAGUCGAACGGGAUAUACCUUCGGGUAUAUUUAGUGGCGAACGGGUGAGUAAUACGUAGGUAACCCACCUAUAAGACGAGGAUAGCCAUUGGAAACGAUGGAUAAUACUGGAUAGGAUAUAUAGAAGCAUUUGUAUAUAUUUAAAGGAGAGAACCGCUUAUAGAGGGGCCUGCGGCGCAUUAGCUAGUUGGUAGAGGUAAGGGCCUACCAAGGCGAUGAUGCGUAGCCGGACUGAGAGGUUGAACGGCCACAAUGGGACUGAGAACGGCCCAUACUCCUACGGGAGGCAGCAGUAGGGAAUUUUCGGCAAUGGGGGGAACCCUGACCGAGCAACGCCGCGUGAACGAAGAAGUUAUUCGUAAUGUAAAGUUCUUUUAUCAGGGAAGAAAAGAAGAGUAUUGACGGUACCUGAUGAAUAAGCUCCGGCUAACUACGUGCCAGCAGCCGCGGUAAUACGUAGGGAGCGAGCGUUAUCCGGAAUUAUUGGGCGUAAAGGGUGCGUAGAUGGUUUAUUAAGUUUCUUGUAAAAAUGCUAGGCUCAACCUAGUAGGGCAAGAGAUACUGGUAGACUAGAGUAUGACAGAGGCAAGUGGAACUACAUGUGUAGCGGUAAAAUGCGUAAAUAUAUGUAAGAACACCGGUGGCGAAGGCGGCUUGCUGGGUCGAUACUGACAUUGAGGCACGAAAGCGUGGGGAGCAAACAGGAUUAGAUACCCUGGUAGUCCACGCCCUAAACGAUGAGUACUAAGUGUUGGUGAAAAUCAGUGCUGAAGUUAACGCAUUAAGUACUCCGCCUGAGUAGUACGUACGCAAGUAUGAAACUUAAAGGAAUUGACGGGAGCCCGCACAAGCGGUGGAGCAUGUUGUUUAAUUCGACGAUACGCGAAGAACCUUACCAGGUCUUGACAUACCCUGCGAAGCUAUGGAGACAUAGUGGAGGAUAGCAGGGAUACAGGUGGUGCAUGGUUGUCGUCAGCUCGUGUCGUGAGAUGUUGGGUUAAGUCCCGCAACGAGCGCAACCCUUAUAUCUAGUUACCAGCAGUAAGAUGGGGACUCUAGAUAGACUGCCAUUGAUAAAAUGGAGGAAGGUGGGGAUGACGUCAAAUCAUCAUGCCCUAUAUGACCUGGGCUACAAACGUGCUACAAUGGCUGAAACAAAGAGAAGCGAGAGGGUGACCUGGAGCAAAACUCAAAAAAGCAGUCUCAGUUCGGAUUGAAGUCUGCAACUCGACUUCAUGAAGAUGGAAUCGCUAGUAAUCGCGAAUCAGAAUGUCGCGGUGAAUACGUUCUCGGGCUUUGUACACACCGCCCGUCAAACCAUGAGAGUUUGUAAUACCCGAAGCCGGUGGCCUAACGCAAGAGGGAGCCGUCUAAGGUAGGACAGAUGAUUGGGGUUAAGUCGUAACAAGGUAUCCCUACGAGAACGUGGGGAUGGAUCACCUCCUUU